rnacentral:sRNA from 2 species
UCGGAGGCACCGCCGAACCGCCGCGGACGUGGGGAAGACGUCCAGGGCGGACCGGGGAACCACGUUCCUGGGGUGAAUCGCACGGGCGCUCGCGCCCGUGGGUAGGGCAGACCUUGGCCCGAACCCGUCAGCUCACCCGGUAGGCGUCGAGGACACUGGAG